rnacentral:misc_RNA from 1 species
UUGUGUGGGCUGGGGUUGGCAACACUGGCGGGCCAGGGAAGCUUGGGGUAGAAAAUGGCCGAACUGCUGGUGUGAUGCAGCCUAGCGUCUAGUCCUAGAAGGUUAACAUGGAGGAGCUACUCUCUCUAAAGUGGAACAAUCACCGUUCCACGUUUCUUCACAUACUGGGUGUGCUCAGGGAUAAGCAAGCGUAUACGGAUGUCACGCUGGCAUGCGAUGGCAAGUUCUACAGUGUGCACAAGUUGGUGCUUUCAACGUGUAGUGAUUAUUUCUGUGCCAUGUUUGACAAGACAGCUUGUAAGAGCCCAGUUAUAGUGCUAAAAGACAUUAAAAGUGAGGAUCUAGAAGCCUUGCUUGACUAUAUGUACCUUGGUGAAGUGAAUGUGCGACAAUGUGACUUAGCCUCUUUAAUAAAGGCGGCGGAAAACUUGAGAAUUAAGGGCCUUGCUGUACCUGACGAUGAACCUCUUAAGAAGGGUGCCGUAACUACACCAUCUCGGGCCGAACCGACCAGGAGAGAUGGCGGGAGUGGAAGUCCCCCUUCUAAAAGAAAACGGAGGGAUGAAGGCGAAGACGGUCGGGAAGACGUCAGACCGCCUCCCCCUCUACAGAGUGGCUUACACACCCCUCCACCACCACCAAGACCAAAGAGCCCUGUUAGUCAGCGGCUGAGCCCCUCCCCUCUCAGAACAUCUCAGGAGUCUCUCGUAACAGAAGAUCGUGAUAGCCGUCCCCUCUCUUCGCCUGCGGAGUCUCCCGUCACCUCUCAUGUACCAUCUCAUCAAUCUUCACAACAGUUGACACAUCAGCCAUCACAACCACCCCUUCAGUCAUCACAACCUCUACCUGAACAACAACAGACCAGUAACCAGUAUAGAGGGGAGGACACACCAACCUUUGUCAAGGUGGAGAUGGAGGAGGAAGACACGGGCGACAUCCACCAGGACUCCUACAAUUUGAGUGGAGAUGGGUACAAGGAGGAGGAGGGUGGAGACUUAGGGGGGGAUCUAAGUAAUGAUCUUCCCGAGUUCUUACAACAAGCUGCCUCUGGUGCCCUGGCUGGUACUUCUGCUUCCUACCAUCACGCCUUUGCUGGACCCUCUGGUUUUCAACCGGAGGUGUCUGGUUGGCAAGGGGACAGUCAGUCCCUGCCAGGAAGUUUUGCGGGGCUAGGCUUUCAGCCCUCCACACAGGACAAUCCACCAGGGGGGCGCAGGUUUGAGGCGGGACUGCCGACGGCGUUGUUGGCCGUUUCUGCGGGGUCUGCAGCUCACACCCUUUCGUCUGGGGCCCAGGGAGUGCCAGGGGACCUACUGUCAUGCAGUGUUUGUGGUCGAGGGUUCCACGGACGCAAUCGACGCCAGGAUCUUGAACGUCACAUGCUGACUCAUACCGGGGAAAAGCCUUACCGGUGCCCACACUGUCCACACCGCACCAACAGGAUUGGCAAUCUGAAAACCCACAUGUUCACUAUCCACCGUGAUCUGGUCACUAACCCUGCCCAUCAUGUUAUUUAUAACCUGAAGAACACCCAGCCUCUACAUCUAGGGGGUAACAUCCAUUCAUCCCAUUCCCUUCCCACCGUUAAUACUGACGUGGACAGGUCAACAAAGCACUCAUCGUGACGUCGUCUGAUUUCAUAAAAGUAAAGCGGUCACAUCUAGCAGUGGCCCAGAUAAAGACGGUGGCGAUGCAGAGGGUGGUACCACUACUAUACCCUCGUACCCCCCUCCACCAUGCCCCCAACUGCCACCCAUACACAGCCAAACACCACAUCGUAGCUG